rnacentral:rRNA from 1 species
GAUGAACGCUGGCAGCAUGCUUAACACAUCAGCAAUUGAUUGGUGGCGGACGGGUGAGUAACGCGUUAAGAACUUGCCUCCCAGCUAGGGACAAAAUUUGGAAACGAAUGCUAAUACCUAAUACUGUGCGAGAGCUUUGCGUACCAUUAGCUAGUUGGAGAGGUAACGGCUCACCAAGGCGAUGCUGGGUAGCCGGCCUGAGAGGGUGAUCGGCCACAAGGGGACUGAGACACGGCCCUUACUGCCACUGGAGGCAGCAGUGGGGAAUAUACGAGAAUUGACCAAAGUCUGAACCAGCAAUUCUGUGUGCACGAUGAAGUCUUAGGAAUGUAAAGCGCUGUCAGUUGGGAAGCGGUACCAACAGAAGAAGCGACGGCUAAAUACGUGCCAGCAGCCGCGGUAAUUC